GCAGCAGUGGGGAAUAUUGGACAAUGGGCGAAAGCCUGAUCCAGCCAUGCCGCGUGUGUGAAGAAGGCCCUUUUGGUUGUAAAGCACUUUAAGCGAGGAGGGAGGCUACUUAGAUUAAUACUCUAGGAUAGUGGACGUUACUCGCAGAAUAAGCACCGGCUAACUCUGUGCCAGCAGCCGCGGUAAUACAGAGGGGUGCGAGCGUUAAUCGGAUUUACUGGGCGUAAAGCGUGCGUAGGCGGCUUUUUAAGUCGGAUGUGAAAUCCCUGAGCUUAACUUAGGAAUUGCAUUCGAUACUGGGAAGCUAGAGUAUGGGAGAGGAUGGUAGAAUUCCAGGUGUAGCGGUGAAAUGCGUAGAGAUCUGGAGGAAUACCGAUGGCGAAGGCAGCCAUCUGGCCUAAUACUGACGCUGAGGUACGAAAGCAUGGGGAGCAAACAGGAUUAGAUACCCUGGUAGUCCAUGCCGUAAACGAUGUCUACUAGCCGUUGGGGCCUUUGAGGCUUUAGUGGCGCAGCUAACGCGAUAAGUAGACCGCCUGGGGAGUACGGUCGCAAGACUAAAACUCAAAUGAAUUGACGGGGGCCCGCACAAGCGGUGGAGCAUGUGGUUUAAUUCGAUGCAACGCGAAGAACCUUACCUGGUCUUGACAUAGUAAGAACUUUCCAGAGAUGGAUUGGUGCCUUC
rnacentral:rRNA from 1 species